AACAAACGCUGGCGGCGUGCCUAAUACAUGCAAGUCGAACGAGAAAACACCUUCGGGUGGAGUACUAGUGGCGCACGGGUGAGGAACACGUGGAUAAUCUGCCCUCUAGUGGGGAAUAACUAACCGAAAGGUUAGCUAAUACCGCAUAAGACCACAGUUUCUGCGGAAACAGUGGUUAAAGAUUUAUCGCUAGAGGAUGAGUCCGCGUCCAAUUAGCUUGUUGGUGGGGUAAAGGCCUACCAAGGCUACGAUUGGUAACUGGUCUGAGAGGAUGAUCAGUCACACUGGAACUGAGACACGGUCCAGACUCCUACGGGAGGCAGCAGUAGGGAAUAUUGCACAAUGGAGGAAACUCUGAUGCAGCGACGCCGCGUGAGUGAUGAAGGCCCUUGGGUUGUAAAGCUCUGUUCUGUGGGAACAAAAAAAUGAGCGUACCACAGAAGAAAGGACCGGCUAACUUCG
rnacentral:rRNA from 1 species